rnacentral:rRNA from 1 species
UACGGGGGGAGCAAGCGUUGUUCGGAUUUACUGGGCGUAAAGGGCGCGUAGGCGGUCGUGACAAGUCACUUGUGAAAUCUCCGGGCUUAACUCGGAACGGUCAAGUGAUACUGUCGGACUAGAGUACAGAAGGGGCAACUGGAAUUCUCGGUGUAGCGGUGAAAUGCGUAGAUAUCGAGAGGAACACCUGCGGCGAAGGCGGGUUGCUGGGCUGAUACUGACGCUGAGGCGCGAAGGCGUGGGGGAGCGAACGGG